rnacentral:rRNA from 1 species
AUUGAACGCUGGCGGCAGGCCUAACACAUGCAAGUCGAACGAGUGGCGGACGGGUGAGUAAUGUCUGGGAAUCUGGCUUAUGGAGGGGGAUAACGACUGGAAACUGUCGCUAAUACCGCGUACCAUAGGAUGAGCCCAAGUGGGAUUAGGUAGUUGGUGGGGUAAUGGCUCACCAAGGCGACGAUCCCUAGCUGGUCUGAGAGGAUGACCAGCCACACCGGAACUGAGACACGGCCCAGACUCCUACGGGAGGCAGCAGUGGGGAAUAUUGCGCAAUGGGGGCAAGCCUGACGCAGCCAUGCCGCGUGAAUGAAGAAGGCCUUCGGGUUGUAAAGUACUUUCAGUGGGGAGGCGUUAAUCGCAGAAGAAGCACCGGCUAACUCCGUGCCAGCAGCCGCGGUAAUUC